AGCUGCAGCCAUGCUGCCCUGAACGUGCCUGGUUAGUACUUGGAUGGGAGACCACCUAGGAAGACCAGGUGCUGUAGGCA
rnacentral:rRNA from 1 species